rnacentral:rRNA from 1 species
GAUGGGCUCACGGCCUAUCAGCUUGUUGGUGGGGUAAUGGCCUACCAAGGCGACGACGGGUAGCCGGCCUGAGAGGGUGACCGGCCACACUGGGACUGAGACACGGCCCAGACUCCUACGGGAGGCAGCAGUGGGGAAUAUUGCACAAUGGGCGCAAGCCUGAUGCAGCGACGCCGCGUGAGGGAUGACGGCCUUCGGGUUGUAAACCUCUUUCAGCAGGGAAGAAGCCACAAGUGACGGUACCUGCAGAAGAAGCGCCGGCUAACUACGUGCCAGCAGCCGCGGUAAUACGUAGGGCGCAAGCGUUGUCCGGAAUUAUUGGGCGUAAAGAGCUCGUAGGCGGUUUGUCGCGUUUGCUGUGAAAACCCGGGGCUCAACCCCGGGUCUGCAGUGGGUACGGGCAGACUAGAGUGCAGUAGGGGAGACUGGAAUUCCUGGUGUAGCGGUGAAAUGCGCAGAUAUCAGGAGGAACACCGAUGGCGAAGGCAGGUCUUUGGGCUGUUACUGACGCUGAGGAGCGAAAGCAUGGGGAGGGAACAGGAUUAGAUACCCUGGUAGUCCAUGCCGUAAACGUUGGGCAGUAGGUGUGGGGGACAUUCCACGUUCUCCGCGCCGUAGCUAACGCAUUAAGUGCCCCGCCUGGGGAGUACGGCCGCAAGGCUAAAACUCAAAGGAAUUGACGGGGGCCCGCACAAGCGGCGGAGCAUGCGGAUUAAUUCGAUGCAACGCGAAGAACCUUACCAAGGCUUGACAUCCACCGGACCGCACUGGAGACAGUGCUUCCCUUCGGGGCUGGUGGACAGGUGGUGCAUGGUUGUCGUCAGCUCGUGUCGUGAGAUGUUGGGUUAAGUCCCGCAACGAGCGCAACCCUCGUUCUAUGUUGCCAGCACGUGAUGGUGGGGACUCAUAGGAGACUGCCGGGGUCAACUCGGAGGAAGGUGGGGAUGACGUCAAAUCAUCAUGCCCCUUAUGUCUUGGGCUUCACGCAUGCUACAAUGGCCGGUACAAAGGGUUGCGAUACUGUGAGGUGGAGCUAAUCCCAAAAAGCCGGUCUCAGUUCGGAUUGAGGUCUGCAACUCGACCUCAUGAAGUCGGAGUCGCUAGUAAUCGCAGAUCAGCAACGCUGCGGUGAAUACGUUCCCGGGCCUUGUACACACCGCCCGUCAAGUCACGAAAGUUGGUAACACCCGAAGCCGGUGGCCUAACCCCUUGUGGGAGGGAGCCGUCGAAGGUGGGACCGGCGAUUGGGACUAAGUCGUAACAAGGUAACCGUA